rnacentral:rRNA from 1 species
UACGAAGGGGGCUAGCGUUGCUCGGAAUCACUGGGCGUAAAGGGUGCGUAGGCGGGUCUUUAAGUCAGGGGUGAAAUCCUGGAGCUCAACUCCAGAACUGCCUUUGAUACUGAGGAUCUUGAGUUCGGGAGAGGUGAGUGGAACUGCGAGUGUAGAGGUGAAAUUCGUAGAUAUUCGGAAGAACACCAGUGGCGAAGGCGGCGACCUGGACGGACACUGACGCUGAGACGCGAAAGCGUGGGGAGCAAACAGG